rnacentral:rRNA from 1 species
GACGAACGCUGGCGGCGUGCUUAACACAUGCAAGUCGAACGGAAAGGCCCUGCUUUUGUGGGGUUCUCGAGUGGCGAACGGGUGAGUAACACGUGAGUAACCUGCCCUUGUCUUUGGGAUAACUUCAGGAAACUGGGGCUAAUACCGGAUAGGAGCUCCUGCUGCAUGGUGGGGGUUGGAAAGUUUCGGCGGUUGGGGAUGGACUAGCGGCUUAUCAGCUUGUUGGUGGGGUAGUGGCUUACCAAGGCUUUGACGGGUAGCCGGCCUGAGAGGGUGACCGGCGACAUUGGGACUGAGGGACGGCCCAGACUGCUACGGGCGGCAGCAGGGGGGAAUAUUGCACAAUGGGCGGAAGCCUGAUGCAGAAACGCCGCGUGCGGGAUGACGGCCUUCGGGUUGUAAACCGCUUUCACCUGUGACGAAGCGUGAGUGACGGUAAUGGGUAAAGAAGCACCGGCUAACUACGUG